AUUGAACGCUGGCGGCAGGCCUAACACAUGCAAGUCGAGCGGAUAAAGGGAGCUUGCUCCUGGAUUCAGCGGCGGACGGGUGAGUAAUGCCUAGGAAUCUGCCUGGUAGUGGGGGAUAACGUCCGGAAACGGGCGCUAAUACCGCAUACGUCCUGCGGGAGCAAGUGGGGGAUCUUCGGACCUCACGCUAUCAGAUGAGCCUAGGUCGGAUUAGCCAGUUGGUGGGGUAAAGGCCUACCAAGGCGACGAUCCGUAACUGGUCUGAGAGGAUGAUCAGUCACACUGGAACUGAGACACGGUCCAGACUCCUACGGGAGGCAGCAGUGGGGAAUAUUGGACAAUGGGCGAAAGCCUGAUCCAGCCAUGCCGCGUGUGUGAAGAAGGUCUUCGGAUUGUAAAGCACUUUAAGUUGGGAGGAAGGGCAGUAAGUUAAUACCUUGCUGUUUUGACGUUACCAACAGAAUAAGCACCGGCUAACUUCGUG
rnacentral:rRNA from 1 species